AUUGAACGCUAGCGGCAUGCCUUACACAUGCAAGUCGAACGAGUGGCGGACGGGUGAGUAAUAUAUCGGAACGUGCCCAGUCGCGGGGGAUAACUACUCGAAAGAGUGGCUAAUACCGCAUACUAUUGGAUCUGCCCAGAUGGGAUUAGCUAGUCGGUGGGGUAAAGGCUCACCAAGGCAACGAUCCGUAGCUGGUUUGAGAGGCAGACCAGCCACACUGGGACUGAGACACGGCCCAGACUCCUACGGGAGGCAGCAGUGGGGAAUAUUGGACAAUGGGAGAAACCCUGAUCCAGCCAUCCCGCGUGUAUGAGAAGGCCUUCGGGUUGUAAAGUACUUUUGGCAGAGAAGCGGUAUCUGCAGAAUAAGCACCGGCUAACUACGUGCCAGCAGCCGCGGUAAUAC
rnacentral:rRNA from 1 species